ACGGCAGGACAAAAUUAAGAUGCCCGGCAUCUCUUCUGGUAUAUCAAGUGUUGGUCUUACAAUUAGAAAAUGCGCUGUUGUCAAAAUCUCUUCAAGAUUGUUUCCAUCAUCAAUCGAAUACAACGGUCUGGAAUUCAAUAUUUGUUCAAUUUCUGCUAAUAAUGAACUCAUUUCUUCUUAAAUAUCCACAGCUUUUGGAUAAAUAAUUUUUGCUACAUGAAGACGAAAAGACCGAUUAAUGGGUAUUUCAUAUGUUUCGGAGUGUCCCAAACGCACCGUGGGAUUAACCUUGCCAGAAGCUGAAGAGACCAUGGAUGUCAAGCAGUUUAUUCAGUAAUACCGGAAGCCCAAUAAGUUUAUUGGAAAGUCCCGUACCUAAAUAUAAGUCAUCAAUUAAGAAGAAGUCCUUUUCGUGGAAUUGGUGGAACAUCAAUACCUAUGUAAUAGGGUGUCCCUUAUAUGACAAAAAAAAUUUUUUUUUCCAAUUUUG